rnacentral:misc_RNA from 1 species
GAUGAAGAACGUAGUGAAAUGCGAUAAGUAAUGUGAAUUGCAGAAUUCAGUGAAUCAUCGAAUCUUUGAACGCACCUUGCACUCCUUGGUAUUCCGAGGAGUACGCCUGUUCGAGUGUUAUGAAGCUCUCAAAACGCAAUUGGCUUAAAACCUGAUUGUUGUUUUGGAUUUGAACUUUGCCGUGUUAUAACGGCUGGUUUUAAAAGUAUUAGCUGGUACUAGAACGAAUUGGUUCUACUCAACGUGAUAAUUAUCUGAUCGUUGAGGACAUUCCUUUCACGAGGAAUGGCCAUAGUAAAUUCAAUGGACUGCUUCUAAUCUGGCUUUAAUUCUUUAUUGGAUUAACCACUUUUCAAAUCUGACCUCGAAUCGGGUGGGACUACCCGCUGAACUUAAGCAUAUCAAUAAGCGGAGGA